rnacentral:rRNA from 1 species
GGUGCAUGGUUGGCGUCAGCGCGUGUCGUGAGAUGUUGGGUGAAGUCCCGCAACGAGCGCAACCCUUAAGCUUAGUUGCCAUCAUUAAGUUGGGCACUCUAAGGUGACUGCCGGUGACAAACCGGAGGAAGGUGGGGAUGACGUCAAAUCAUCAUGCCCCUUAUGACCUGGGCUACACACGUGCUACAAUGGACGGUACAAAGAGCUGCAAGACCGCGAGGUGGAGCUAAUCUCAUAAAACCGUUCUCAGUUCGGAUUGUAGGCUGCAACUCGCCUACAUGAAGCUGGAAUCGCUAGUAAUCGCGGAUCAGCAUGCCGCGGUGAAUACGUUCCCGGGCCUUGUACACACCGCCCGUCACACCACGAGAGUUUGUAACACCCGAAGUCGGUGGGGUAACCUUUUUGGAGCCAGCCGCCUAAGGUGGGACAGAUGAUUGGGGUGAAGUCGUAACAAGGUAGCCGUAUCGGAAGGUGCGGCUGGAUCACCUCCUUU